GCCGGGUUGGCGGAGUGGUCAAUCGCACCUGACUGUAAAUCAGGCGCCCUUGUGGCUACGGUGGUUCGAAUCCAUCACCCGGCACCA
rnacentral:tRNA from 1 species